UUUAAGCGCAGUUAUGAGUUUUCGUGUUCAACUUUAAUCGUUCGUUUUAUUUAAUUUUUUUAUGAUUAGUAUUUUUAUUGUUAUUAAAUGAUAAAAACAUGAAUAGUAUUUUAUGUAUGGCUUCUGUUUUUUAUUUUUUCAAAAAAAAUUUAUAUAAGACGGACGAUUAAAAUUAAACACGUAAACUUAUACUCAUGACUGCGUUUAAA
rfam:Oryza meridionalis cultivar OR44 (W2112) chromosome 4, whole genome shotgun sequence.